rnacentral:rRNA from 1 species
ACAUAAAAUGACUCUCGGCAACGGAUAUCUCGGCUCUUGCAUCGAUGAAGAACGUAGCGAAAUGCGAUACUUGGUGUGAAUUGCAGAAUCCCGUGAACCAUCGAGUCUUUGAACGCAAGUUGCGCCUGAAGCCAUUAGGUUAAGGGCACGCCUGCUUGGGUGUCACAC